UGCGGAAGGAUCAUUACUAGAGCAAAGGAUAGACAGCGCCCGCGGAGCUCGCUCCCGGGGCCACCCUACUCCGGUAGGGUUUAGAGUCGUCGGGCCUCUCGGAGAAGCUCGGUCCUGAACUCCACCCUUGAAUAAACUACCUUUGUUGCUUUGGCGGGCCGCCUCGUGCCAGCGGCUUCGGCUGUUGAGUGCCCGCCAGAGGACCACAACUCUUGUUUUUAGUGAUGUCUGAGUACUAUAUAAUAGUUAAAACUUUCAACAACGGAUCUCUUGGUUCUGGCAUCGAUGAAGAACGCAGCGAAAUGCGAUAAGUAAUGUGAAUUGCAGAAUUCAGUGAAUCAUCGAAUCUUUGAACGCACAUUGCGCCCUCUGGUAUUCCGGGGGGCAUGCCUGUUCGAGCGUCAUUAUAACCACUCAAGCUCUCGCUUGGUAUUGGGGUUCGCGGUUUCGCGGCUCCUAAAAUCAGUGGCGGUGCCUAUCGGCUCUACGCGUAGUAAUACUCCUCGCGAUUGAGUCCGGUAGGUCUACUUGCCAGCAACCCCUAAUUUUUUAAGGUUGACCUCGGAUCAGGUAGGGAUACCCGCUGAACUUAAGCAUAUCAAUAAGCGGAGGAAAAGAAACCAACAGGGAUUACCUCAGUAACGGCGAGUGAAGCGGUAACAGCUCAAAUUUGAAAGCUGGCUCUUUUAGGGUCCGCGUUGUAAUUUGUAGAAGAUGCUUCGGGUGUGGCCCCGGUCUAAGUUCCUU
rnacentral:rRNA from 1 species